CCGAAAACAGGUGGAGGGUUUUCAGCCCUGGCUUCUGCUCGCACAUCCCACUCGGCACAGAUGGGUGGUCAUGUUGCCAACUAUGCGGCAGAAAGGCGAUGGUUCGUUAGCGUCGUAUUAGCGCCUUUAGCAGUAUAGAUGAAGAAUACAUAGAUUUAAAGGAAAAACUCUACCCCUGAUACCAAGGACAUGGAAACUCAGACGCACUCUUUUAAGUAGAUUUCUGUAUUUUUGCCUGCAUCCUCAAUUAACUCCAGCCUACUAAUUUUUAGCAGAAGAAACAGUUGUUUUCUCCUUCAUCUUAAAGUUGUGUUUCCAAGUAGGAGAAGAAUCCAAGAACGAAACCAGUUUUGAGUAAUAGUGUCAUUCAGCAGCUCCCUGAGCAUCAGGAUUGAAAGGACACAUCAGAUGCCACAGCAGAAGCCAGAAUUUUGUUUCUCUUCUGAAGGACAAAGGGCUGAAUCAACCAUCGCUACUGGUCCUGCAAUCCCAAGGAGCCUGUAGUUUUUCAAACCUAAGACUGAGAGGCUUUCAAGCAGCGGCAGUGUCUUCACACACACUUAAAAUAAAAAAAGGCAGCUCUUUCAAUAUAAGCUGCUCUUGAGAGCU